CGGUAAGUGAAGGAGACAAGGAAGAAGAAGGAGAAAAGUGGAGGAGACCAGAUUCAGCGAGGAGAUGAGAGAGGGGCACAAGAAAAUGAAAAGAGAAAACACAUGAGGGAGACAAGUAGAUGAGAGAAGGAGGCAAAAUUUUGGAGGAGACAAGUGAAAUACGACAUUGAGGAAGGGGACUAAGUGAAGAGGAAACAAGUCAAGGCCACAAAAUUGGGACCAGUUUGAAGACUUCCAAGAUACGACAGCGGGGACCCCAUUUUGAGUACUGAUGGACUGCAGGCCAGAUUGAACGAGACAGCGCAGCUAUUAAAAGCGGUUAGGUGGUAACCAGGGGAAACGCGUGCUUUGCAACAAUGGCCGCAGUGAAGACAACAACAAUGAGCCUUUGGAAGUUAAUGCAAAAAGACGAACACUGGACAGAAAGGAAUGGGUGUGAUAUUUUAAAGCUGUCACACAGCACUUUUGUGCUUCAGCAUUGCAGUCUGACUGCUGACUGAGAUGUUUCUGCAUCCACCAGUGAGUCAAAGUACAAAUACUUCACUGUUAGAUAGUAUUUCACUUGAAUACAGUGGCGCCUUGACUUGUUGAGUUUAAUUCGUUAAGUGCUUAAGGUGGUAUGUUUUUGCAGCUUACAUGUGUCGUUGUGUGUAGGCGUAAGACGCUUGACAAAUUAACAUUUAUUUUUCCAGGUCAUGGAAAGGACCUCCUCAUCUUGAUAAAAGAAGCCCCUCAUCAAAAGGAGCUUCUUUCAUCAAAAGGAGCUUCUUUUUUUUGUCCCGAGUUUAUCAUGAGUAAUUGAAGAAUUGUACAUAAUUUGGGAACCCAGAGGCUUAUGUGCUCUGGAAAUAAAUUCAUCGAUGUUUUACCAA